rnacentral:rRNA from 1 species
UUCCAGACUCCUACGGGAGGCAGCAGUGGGGAAUAUUGGGCAAUGGAGGAAACCCUGACCCAGCGACGCCGCGUGAGGGAAGAAGGUUUUCGGAUUGUAAACCUCUGUCCUUGGUGACGAUAAUGACGGUAGCCAAGGAGGAAGCCACGGCUAACUACGUGCCAGCAGCCGCGGUAAUACGUAGGUGGCGAGCGUUGUCCGGAAUUACUGGGUGUAAAGGGCGUGUAGGCGGGAGCGCAAGUCAGAUGUGAAAACUCAGGGCUCAACCCUGAGCCUGCAUUUGAAACUGUGUUUCUUGAGUGUUGGAGAGGCAAUCGGAAUUCCGUGUGUAGCGGUGAAAUGCGUAGAUAUACGGAGGAACACCAGUGGCGAAGGCGGAUUGCUGGACAGUAACUGACGCUGAGGCGCGAAAGCGUGGGGAGCAAACAGGAUUAGAUACCCCGGUA